AUUCUGGCUCAGGAUGAACGCUGGCGGCGUGCUUAACACAUGCAAGUCGAACGGGAUCCAUCAGGCUUUGCUUGGUGGUGAGAGUGGCGAACGGGUGAGUAAUGCGUGACCGACCUGCCCCAUACACCGGAAUAGCUCCUGGAAACGGGUGGUAAUGCCGGAUGCUCCGACUCCUCGCAUGGGGUGUCGGGAAAGAUUUCAUCGGUAUGGGAUGGGGUCGCGUCCUAUCAGGUAGUCGGCGGGGUAACGGCCCACCGAGCCUACGACGGGUAGCCGGCCUGAGAGGGCGACCGGCCACAUUGGGACUGAGAUACGGCCCAGACUCCUACGGGAGGCAGCAGUGGGGAAUAUUGCACAAUGGGCGCAAGCCUGAUGCAGCGACGCCGCGUGCGGGAUGACGGCCUUCGGGUUGUAAACCGCUUUUGAUCGGGAGCAAGCCUUCGGGUGAGUGUACCUUUCGAAUAAGCACCGGCUAACUACGUGCCAGCAGCCGCGGUAAUACGUAGGGUGCAAGCGUUAUCCGGAAUUAUUGGGCGUAAAGGGCUCGUAGGCGGUUCGUCGCGUCCGGUGUGAAAGUCCAUCGCUUAACGGUGGAUCUGCGCCGGGUACGGGCGGGCUGGAGUGCGGUAGGGGAGACUGGAAUUCCCGGUGUAACGGUGGAAUGUGUAGAUAUCGGGAAGAACACCAAUGGCGAAGGCAGGUCUCUGGGCCGUUACUGACGCUGAGGAGCGAAAGCGUGGGGAGCGAACAGGAUUAGAUACCCUGGUAGUCCACGCCGUAAACGGUGGAUGCUGGAUGUGGGGCCCGUUCCACGGGUUCCGUGUCGGAGCUAACGCGUUAAGCAUCCCGCCUGGGGAGUACGGCCGCAAGGCUAAAACUCAAAGAAAUUGACGGGGGCCCGCACAAGCGGCGGAGCAUGCGGAUUAAUUCGAUGCAACGCGAAGAACCUUACCUGGGCUUGACAUGUUCCCGACAGCCCCAGAGAUGGGGCUUCCCUUCGGGGCGGGUUCACAGGUGGUGCAUGGUCGUCGUCAGCUCGUGUCGUGAGAUGUUGGGUUAAGUCCCGCAACGAGCGCAACCCUCGCCCUGUGUUGCCAGCACGUCAUGGUGGGAACUCACGGGGGACCGCCGGGGUCAACUCGGAGGAAGGUGGGGAUGACGUCAGAUCAUCAUGCCCCUUACGUCCAGGGCUUCACGCAUGCUACAAUGGCCGGUACAACGGGAUGCGACACGGCGACGUGGAGCGGAUCCCUGAAAACCGGUCUCAGUUCGGAUUGGAGUCUGCAACCCGACUCCAUGAAGGCGGAGUCGCUAGUAAUCGCGGAUCAGCAACGCCGCGGUGAAUGCGUUCCCGGGCCUUGUACACACCGCCCGUCAAGUCAUGAAAGUGGGUAGCACCCGAAGCCGGUGGCCUAACCCUUUGUGGAUGGAGCCGUCUAAGGUGAGACUCGUGAUUGGGACUAAGUCGUAACAAGGUAGCCGUACCGGAAGGUGCGGCUG
rnacentral:rRNA from 1 species